CUUUCAAGAAAGCCGGAGAUGUUUGCCGGACUGCAGUUCACCAGCUCUCCGGUCACCAGGAAAGGCGAAGGGAUGAGUUUACAAGAAUGAGAUUGCAGCUUAGAAUUCCUGCAAUUGAAAGGGUUUUUUUUACAUGUGAAGAUUCUGUACAGUAUUUUGAAAAUGGAUUUCAUAUUCUUAAAGUUCUUUCCAACUGCUGAGGAGUCAAUGGAUUACUAUAAUGAAAAAUGAUGUGUUGAUGGAAAAGGACUUGUUCUGCCCAGUCAGAUUGUAAGGUCAGCUUUGCUAUGUGCUAGUUCGGCCGAAAAUUGGGGAUUCUGGAGUA